rnacentral:rRNA from 1 species
GACGAACGCUGGCGGCGUGCCUAAUACAUGCAAGUCGAACGCAGUGGGGACGGGUGAGUAACACGUGGGUAACCUCCCAUCAGAGGGGAUAACACUUGGAAACAGGUGCUAAACCGAUAUUGACGGAUGGACCCGCGGUGCAUAAGCUAGUUGGUGAGGUAACGGCUCACCAAGGGCACGAUGCAUAGCCGACCGUAGAGGGUGAUCGGCAAAACGGGGACUGAGACACGGCCCAGACUCCUACGGGAGGAAGCAGUGGGGAAUCUUCGGCAAUGGACGAAAGUCUGACCGGGCAACGCCGCGUGGGUGAAGAAGGUUUUCGGAUCGUAAAACUCUGUUGUUGGGGAAGCGGUAUCUAACCAGAAAGCCACGGCUAACUACGUGCCAGCAGCCGUGGUAAUUC